GACGAACGCUGGCGGCGUGCUUAACACAUGCAAGUCGAACGGAAAGGCCUCUUUCGGGGGGUACUCGAGUGGCGAACGGGUGAGUAACACGUGAGUAACCUGCCCUUGACUUUGGGAUAACUUCAGGAAACUGGGGCUAAUACCGGAUAGGAGCUCCUGCUGCAUGGUGGGGGUUGGAAAGUUUCGGCGGUUGGGGAUGGACUCGCGGCUUAUCAGCUUGUUGGUGGGGUAGUGGCUUACCAAGGCCUUGACGGGUAGCCGGCCUGAGAGGGUGACCGGCCACAUUGGGACUGAGAUGCGGCCCAGGCUCCUACGGGAGGCAGCAGUGGGGAAUCUUGCACGAGCGGUGGAGGCCUGAUGCAGCAGCGCCGUGUGCGGGAUGACGGCCUUCGGGUUGUAAACCGCUUUCGCUCAUGACGAAGCUCUGUGUGACGGUAGUGGGUAAAGAAGCACCGGCUAACUACGUG
rnacentral:rRNA from 1 species